rnacentral:tRNA from 1 species
GCUUGAAUUGCUCAGUUGGCAAAGCAUGAGACGCUUAAACUCAGGGCCAUGGGUUGGAGCCCCACGUUGGGCA